CCCGCAAAUACCACCUUGGUUUUUUUUCCCCAUAGAGCAUUGACCUAACUCUGUUCCAGGAAUGGUCUGAGAAAGAAGAUACUAAAAUAGGAUAUUAGAGCUGUUUUGCCCACUGGCUGGCUGACAAGGAGGAUUCCAUCACUGAUGAUAUGUGGAGUACAGAAAACCCCUGGCAUGGUGUGGAAGUGGUCUUGUUAACACUCUUGCUGACGUUAAACUGGGAUGGGAUGCUAGAGGCAAGAAACAUGCUGAGAGAUUAAAUGCUUUUCCCUCUGCUUUGAAGAUGGUUGAACAGUUGAUCAUUCAGUUUAUUUCAAGGGUCUAGAUGAGUUGGGUCUGGGUUACAACUCAAGCCCGAUUAACUUCAUUUCCAGUUAGCCCAACUAUACAUGCCAUGAUCUGCUGCUUCUAAGAAGGAAGCUCUGAAGGUCUUGGAGCCUACAGAUUUGUGAGAUCUGGAGAGCUAUGUCAGGAUGGCAAGGAAAGAAAAAGCCACCAGAAAAGUAAAACUCAUGUUCUGUGGUUAAGAAAAGACAAGGGGCAGCAGAGAAGUUAAGAGUACAGACUUUGGAGCCAGGCAAAACUGGACUGGAGACUUACAUCAACCACUGACCAAGUCAACUCACCCAUAUUACUUAACCUGGGAAGCAAGAAUAUCAUCUGUGUUGGUGCAAACACCUUAAACAAGACCAGUGAGUGAUAUACAUGGAUAGGUUUUG
rnacentral:lncRNA from 1 species